GCCGAGACUAGAGUCACAUCUGGACACCACCUGUUGUCCUGGUGUGCUAGAGUACUCGGACAGUAACCACUAAUCUAUAUUCACUGGCUGUGACCGUUCUUGACUCAGUCAGUCACCAGGUUAGUGACAGGA
ensembl:snoRNA